UCCGCCGGGGUACUACGAGCCCUAGCUUAAAACCCAAAGGACUUGACGGUGUCUCAGAUCCCCCUAGAGGAGCCUGUUCUAGAACCGAUAAUCCCCGUUAAACCUCACCACCCCUUGCCAUUUCCGCCUAUAUACCGCCGUCGUAAGCUCACCCUGUGAAGGUUUAAUAGUAAGCAAAAUGAGUAAAUCUCAGAACGUCAGGUCAAGGUGUAGCUUAUGGGGUGGAAAGAAAUGGGCUACAUUUUCUAUAACAGAAUAUUACGGACAACACCAUGAAACGGGUGUUUUAAGGUGGAUUUAGUAGUAAAAA
rnacentral:rRNA from 1 species